rnacentral:rRNA from 1 species
GAUGAACGCUGGCGGCGUGCCUAAUACAUGCAAGUCGAGCGAACAGAUGAGGAGCUUGCUCCUCUGACGUUAGCGGCGGACGGGUGAGUAACACGUGGAUAACCUACCUAUAAGACUGGGAUAACUUUGGGAAACCGGAGCUAAUACCGGAUAAUAUAUUGAACCGCAUGGUUCAAUAGUGAAAGACGGUUUUGCUGUCACUUAUAGAUGGAUCCGCGCCGCAUUAGCUAGUUGGUAAGGUAACGGUUUACCAAGGCAACGAUGCGUAGCCGACCUGAGAGGGUGAUCGGCCACACUGGAACUGAGACACGGUCCAGACUCCUACGGGAGGCAGCAGUAGGGAAUCUUCCGCAAUGGGCGAAAGCCUGACGGAGCAACGCCGCGUGAGUGAUGAAGGUCUUCGGAUCGUAAAACUCUGUUAUUAGGGAAGAACAAAUGUGUAAGUAACUAUGCACGUCUUGACGGUACCUAAUCAGAAAGCCACGGCUAACUACGUG